rnacentral:lncRNA from 1 species
GGGCAAGCAUCACCACAAUCCAUCCCCAUAACUCAUUUCACCUUGCAAAGCUGAAACAAAACUAUUAAACAAUAAUUCUCCAUGCUCCCCUCCCCCAGCCCCUACCAAUAUACUUUCUGUCUCUUUUGACUAACUACCUCAUCCAAGUGCGGUCCUACAGUAUUUGUCUUUUUGUGACUGGAUUAAUCCACUUAACCUAAUGUCCUCAAUGUUAAUGCAUGUUGUAGCAUGUUGCAGAAGUGUUUACCUUUUCAAGGCUGAAUAAUAUUCGAUUCACUGGAUCUACCACCUUUGGCUUAUCCAUUCAUCCAUUGAUGGACACUUGGGUUGCUUUUACAUUUUAGCUAUUGUGAAUAAUGCUGCUAUGAACAUGGGUGUACGAGCAUCUCUUUGAGAUCUUGCUUUAAAAUCUUUUCAGUAUAUAUACCCAGAAGAGAAAUGGAUGCAUCAUAUCAUAUUUUUACAUUUAAGUUUUCGAGAAAUGAUCAUAUUGUUUUUCACUGCAACUGUACCAUUUGGCAUUCACACUGACAAUAGAUAAGGGUUUCAAUUUCUCCACAUUCCUGCCAAUAAUUGCUAUUUUCUGUUUUUUUUGAUAGUAGCCAUCCUAAUGGGCAGGAGGGGCUAUCUCACUGUGGUUUUGUCUUGCAUUUCCUGUCCCUCCCCCUCCCUGGCUGGAGUCCAGAUCCUCUCCUGGUAGCUGCCCCCAAGUUCACAGUCAAGCACUCAGCUUCAGCUUUCCCAUCUGUGGCAUCUGAAUUAACCCAACCCCUCUUCACUCUGAACUUCUGAUACUCACUGGAUUCUGUCUCCCUCUUGGCCUCUCCCCUGUCCUUUGUUCCAUGUGUGUGUCUGCAUAUCUGGUGCCCACUCUUCCCCUGUGGUGUCUGAAACUCCCUCUGUCCACCUCCAUUGUGGACAUAGACACCCACCCCCUACAGGCCACUCCUUGCCUAACAGCUUGUCCUGCACCUCCCCCUGCCAUCACCUGGGCACACCCCCAAGGGGCUGCCUUCCCAGGUACUCAAUGGAAUCCAUUCACACCCCAGGCCUUGAGCCCUGCUCUGAGUGACACUGACAGGUAAUCAGAGGGCCCACUUUCUCUGGGUUGGUUCUUAGCUUCCUCCCCAUCUUUGAACUACACCUGACACUCUUUGUGCUCAGAGUCUUUAUUUUUAUUUUAUCUGAAGAGACUGCUCAGACUCUAUGGCUUAAAAAUGAAAACACUGUUGUGUACCUGCUGUAGACAGAAGCAUUGAAAGAGCAGACUCUGCAGAAACAUGUAGGAAUGUGUACUUUCUGAUGUCGUUAUUGGCAUUUGUAUCAGUUUCCAUGAAUGCACUUGGUUCCCUGGGCCAACAUCAAGGCGUCUUCAGGUCUCUGCUCUCCCUGGAGGCUCUGAGGGAGAAGCAUUCUCUUGACUUCUAGCUGCAGGAGACUGCCCUCAUUUCUUGCAUCAUGGCAGCGUCACAUGCCUUUCCUCCCCCUGCUUCUAUCCUGACAUCUCUUCUUACUCAGGCUUUCUGCCCAUCUUUUAGAAGUACCCUGGGAUUGCAUUUAGGAUGAUCCAGAAUAUUCUCACCAUCUCAGAUCCUUAAAUUCAUCAUAUUUGCAAAGUCCCUUUUGCCAUAGCAAGUGACAAUCACAGGUUCCAGGAAUGAGACUCUGGAUACCUUUGGCAGCCAUUAUUCAGCCUACAAAGUAUGAAAAGAACUUCAAAAUGUUCAGAAUUUAUAUUAAAAAGCUUUUUCAGAAACCAUCCUUUUCAAAACCUGUUUGUUUGAUUGUGGUAAAGUGCUGUCUCCUUAUUUGUACCUCUUUACGCUGCCCCAGUACUCACUGUGGGAAAGUCCCUGCUGCCUCUCACCGCCAAACAUUUGCACUGUUGGUGUCACACCUGCUAGCCUGGUUGGAGGUGGUGCCUGUGGAUGGCCCAUGGUGCUGGGCGCCUUGCCACAAACUCAUUGGAUAACAGCACUUCUGCUGUGUGAGAUGAGCAGAUAUCAUAUCCUUUACUUCUUUCAUGUCUGACUCCCCAGGGAUGAAGUCAUAACUGGGACUGAAGUAGAAAGACACACUCAGUGUAUUUUCCAAAAAAUUUGGUUAUGUCAUGUGUAAAGGACAAGGCUGUAGCAGUUCUAGUGGAAAUUGUGGUUGCAUUUCUCAUGGAUGAGAUAAGGACUUCUCUAACAGACUAAUGAUAUGGCAAAAGAAAUAGUCCAUGCUGUUCUUAAACCAGAUCUCUAAUUUCUAAUCAACAGGCUGCCUGUAUUUGUAGUGGGCAAGAUGGUUCCGGUUCUCAUAACCGGUUGGUUGUGAAAUGUUAAAAAAUAUUGUCAUUUUUUUUUAAAGCUCAUGUGUUGAAAACCAACAGCAAUGAUUGUGGUUUGAUUACUGCUUCCAAACCGAGCAAGUUAUGCACAGCCCAAGAUCAUCCUGAAAUGUUUAAAAGACAAAAUCACAUCUGGAAAUAGUGUUUAGGGUUACACAACAUUGUGAAUGUAUUUAAUGCCAAUGAAUUCUGUGCUGAAAAAUGGUUAAAAUGGCCAUUUUUACUUAUAUGUAUUUUACUACAAUAAAAAAUAAAGGUAGAGAAAAAAAGGUAUGACCCCUCCUUACUGCAAUGGGCUUGAAACUUAUAACCUAACAGUGAAAUGUUCAAGAUAAGUUGGCAAUUGGAGUGUGAUAUGUGUUAACGGAAGUGCUUGAAUGUUUGAGAGUUGGGAAGCCACUGUAACCACAACAGAUGGGAUGAGGAGGAUGACAUGAGAGUGUAGGCAGGGCCCAGUUUUCAUACGACCAUGCUACUCAAAGGGUGAUCUGCAGGGAGCCCAGGAGCGUGGGCCAGAAAGUAGAUGAAGCACAUUGCUAAGUGCCCUGUUAAUUCCACCUGACAUUGUCUUCAUUGCAAGAAUUGCUUGACCAAACAACUGAGUUGACUGACCAUCCAGUGGAAAUUUCCUAUCUUGUUGCAGGCCAGCACUCUUUAUUGUGAUACAACUACCUGCUUAUCUGACUCACACACCAAGCCACACAAUUUCCCCUGCCCUCAAUUGUCCAGGGGUCGAGUCCCAGGAAACUAGAGACUCCCUGUAACUCCAAGCCUCCAGGAUGAUGCAAUUAGACAAUAUUAAACUGUUUGCUCUGCCCUGCAAUGACACCUUUCUUGGAAAGCAAAAUAAAACCUCUGACUACUUCCUCUCCUCCCAAUGAUCUUCCACAACUUUCCCUAAACCUGGUCUUUCAGCUGGGUCCCUGUAUGGUGUGCGGUGUCCCUCCUAUCUAGAGGAGCUCCCCCCGGUACACAGUUGUAUAUUCUUCAUUGUGGGUCCUUCUAGUUGUGGCAUGUGGGACACUGCCUCAGCAUGGUUUGGUUUGAUGAGCAGUGCCAUGUCCAUGCCCAGGAUUCGAA